rnacentral:tRNA from 1 species
GGACUCGUAGCUCAGCGGCAGAGCGUUGCAUUCACAUUGCAGAUGUCAGAGGUUCAAAUCCUCUCGAGUCCA